CUUGUAGCGCAAUGGAUAGCACAUUGGGUUUCGAAUUCAAAAGUCGUGAGUUUGAAUCCCACCUGAAAGG